rnacentral:rRNA from 1 species
GAAUAUUGCACAAUGGGCGAAAGCCUGAUGCAGCGACGCCGCGUGGGGGAUGGAGGCCUUCGGGUUGUAAACUCCUUUCGCUGGGGCCGAGGAUGUAUUUUGACGGUACCUGGCGAAGAAGAACCGGCUACCUACGUGCCAGCACCCGCGGUAAUACGUAGGGUGCGAGCGUUGUCCGGAAUUACUGGGCGUAAAGAGCUCGUAGGUGGUUUGUCGCGUCGUCUGUGAAAUCCCGGGGCUUAACUUCGGGCGUGCAGGCGAUACGGGCAUAACUUGAGUGCUGUAGGGGAGACUGGAAUUCCUGGUGUAGCGGUGAAAUGCGCAGAUAUCAGGAGGAACACCAAUGGCGAAGGCAGGUCUCUGGGCAGUAACUGACGCUGAGGAGCGAAAGCAUGGGUAGCGAA